rnacentral:rRNA from 1 species
GAUGAGCGCUGGCGGCGUGCUUAACACAUGCAAGUCGAACGGAAAGGCUCCUGCUUGCAAGGGUACUCGAGUGGCGAACGGGUGAGUAACACGUGGGUGAUCUGCCCUGCACUUCGGGAUAAGCCUGGGAAACUGGGUCUAAUACCGGAUAGGACGAUGGUUUGGAUGCCAUUGUGGAAAGUUUUUUCGGUGUGGGAUGAGCUCGCGGCCUAUCAGCUUGUUGGUGGGGUAAUGGCCUACCAAGGCGUCGACGGGUAGCCGGCCUGAGAGGGUGUACGGCCACAUUGGGACUGAGAUACGGCCCAGACUCCUACGGGAGGCAGCAGUGGGGAAUAUUGCACAAUGGGCGCAAGCCUGAUGCAGCGACGCCGCGUGGGGGAUGACGGCCUUCGGGUUGUAAACUCCUUUCGCUAGGGACGAAGCGCAAGUGACGGUACCUGGAGAAGAAGCACCGGCUAACUACGUG